CGGGAGCAAAGAGACAAGGAAAUGCUGUCACCGCCGUUAACACGCACGUGGAGGUUUGUUAAAGGAAGAUCUGAUUUAAGUCCUGCCUCCAACAGUCUGAAGAUGAAGAAAAGAUGACUGAGACUGCCGAGGAUGUGCAUACCACACCUGAGCAGCUGGCUCUUGAAACACUCCUCUACAUCUCAAAACAAUGUCUGUUCAUCUGAGAAGAUUUCCAGUUAGACAUUGACUGAAGAAAGAAAUAUUUCACUUUCAAUCACAUGGUCCUGCUUGCUGUCUCUUAUUCCUUAUUCACUCUCUCGGAGGUCACUUUGUGAUUCUACCAAAUCCCACAGGAAAGGCCUCYAGAGGGUGAGUUCUGAGAGGGAAAGUGGCCAGUCUACGUGCUGUCCACAAAGAUGCCAAACUUUUCAUCCAGGAGCCAGUUCUCCCUGCUGGGCAGCCAGGGAAUAUCCAAUUAUCAAUGUACUCUUUGUGGGUCUCCUUGUCAGAGUCUGUGUCUUUAGGAGCCUAGUUCAGGAGGCUCAUCAUUAUCUAGGACCAGCUUUCUUUUCCUUAUUGUGGAUGCUUUUAACCAAAGAGUUUAAGCCUCUGUACAAUCAAGUGGUACUGGAAUUAGAAAACUCACCAAUGGCCCUAGCCAAUGAGGAUCCAUUUCCAACUGGUAUUAAAGCCACUGAACACUGAUAUCAUCAGCCCAAUAGAUAGGUUGUCUGACAGAUUUGCCCUCUUCAUCAUA